CCACUUAAUUUACGUACAGAUGAACAUUUCCCUUACUAUUUGUUUUGCGACUAAGGGAAAUUUCUCUCGGGCAUUCUAACAAACACUUGAUAUGCAUUCAAGAAUGAGAUAUGCUCCGGCGCUGUUCUUCCCAAUUUACAGUUCUGGUUUCAAUAAAAAUGCGUUUUUUGAAUCGGAUGUUCUCAGAUACAUGGUAUUCUCUGGGAUUGAGAAUUUAAAGAGUAAUUCUUUAAUGAAUAAUUGGGUUUUAUCAGACCAAAAGCGUUUUAUGACAGCGGGUAGGAGAGUUCAAGACAGGAGCAAGAAGAAGAGGGUCCAUGAUCUAGAGAAGGCAACAGAGAAAUGGAAAGUUUUAUCAAAAGUUUUAUUUGUAAUGGAGGUUUUGAAACGAGAGCCUGAACAAAUCAUAACGUUUAGAGGAUUGGAAAAGUAUAGGAGGCAAAUCAAUUUGCCAAAACCCCAUAAAAUCUCAGACUUUCUCCGUAAAUCCCCCAAGCUUUUCGAAUUGUACAAAGAUAAGAAAGGGGUUAUAUGGUGUGGGCUUACAUACAAAGCUGAAGAAUUGCUCGAGGAGGAAGAGAGGCUUCAAAGAGAACACAGUGAGAAGAUGGUGGAAUAUGUUACAAGGUUUCUUAUGAUGUCAGUUGAUAAGAGGCUUUGCAUCGACAAAAUUGCACAUUUUCGAAGAGACAUUGGAUUGCCUGAUGAUUUUCGAAAGAGAUGGAUCCAUAUGUUUCCCGAGUAUUUCCGGGUCAUUACAAUCGAUGAUAUAGAGUAUCUUGAGCUUGUGUCGUGGAGGCCCGAGUGGGCGGUUACUGAGUUAGAGAAAAGGGCAUGGAAGGAGGCUGAGUUGAAAGAGAGAGAAACUGUUUCCAUGGGGAAGGGGGGUUUAGAGAACAAAACUGUAACACCCGCAAAGGUGGGUCUAGAGAAUGAAACUGUUUCAUUGGUGAAUGUUGGUGCUGAGAGAGAACCAGUUUCAAGUGCAACGAGUGAAACUGUUUCAUUGGAAAGGGGCCAUGGUAUGCCUGGAUGGCUUUCACUUCCUUUUCCUCUCAAAUUUCCUCCAAAUUAUAAGAAGAUUUACAGAUAUGGAGGGAGCAUUGAACAUUUUCAGGAGCUGACCUACCUUUCUCCUUAUGCAGAUGCAAGAGAAUUGAAGCCUGGAUCAUUGGAAUUCGAUAAGAGAGCAGUAGCAGUGAUGCAUGAGCUCUUGGGCUUCACUACUGAGAAAAGGUUGGUAAUAGAUCAUUUGACACACUUUCGACAUGAAUUCAAAAUGCCCCAGAAGCUGAUGAGGCUUCUCCUAAAGCAUUGUGGUAUCUUUUACGUUUCAGAGAGAGGGAAGAGGUUAAGUGCUUUUCUAACAGAGGCCUAUGAAGGAAUGGAGUUGAUAGUGAAGUGCCCUUUGGUGCUAUGGAAGGAAAAGGUUAUGGAGCUUGUUGGUUAUAGGGGAAAGAAUAGGAAAGGAGCUGUCUAUUUCAAUGAGAUCUCGGAGGAUGAAAGAGACGGCCUAUUCAGCCAUGUUAAUGAUAGUGAGAAUGCCCUCAAGGAAUUUGGUGAUGAAGGGGGUUCAGAAGAUGCUUCCCUUGACCUAAGAUUAGAUGAUUCCGAUAUGGAUUUAGGAGAGAUUGAAAGAGCUUACAAUGAUCAGUAAUCAACUCCAGUGGAUGUACAUGGGGGUUGCCACAUACUUUGAUGGAUGGACUUUGUCUAGUUGUGCUAGUAUCAUAACCUUUGAUCUCCCCAAGACCAUCCAGCUGACUAAUUUCCCCUUGGGGCGGUAAUGUGUCCUCGAACUCUUCUUCACUUGGGUCACAGACAACAUUUUGUUUCAGAUCUUCGAUAUUGAAGAAUUGGAUCUCUUCAUCCCAGGUAUUCAAAGGGACUAGUUUCAGAUCUUUGAUAUUGAAGGAUUGCCUCUGAACUGUAACGUAUGUUUUCCUCUCUGAUUUCUUCCUCCUCCGGCCUCCCAUCUUUAGUUAUCUCUGGUUUGGAAUGUUGUUUCUUGGAGUUUAGGAAGUCUCAUCAAUUUUGCUGCUAUUUGCUUCCACUUUUCAAUAUAGUCAUCCAUAUUUUCCACAUGUUUGUUCGACUGCCUGUAUGAAAUUCUCCUCUCGUCUUUCUGUAGUUUUGGCUAAAAGGAUAACUUUUUGAAAAAUUGACUUGUCUUAACAUUUGCUUCGACUGCCUUGCUUCUCUCUCUAAGUAAGCUCGUCAGCCUUUCUGCUGUCUCUCUCGCAUGCCAAUUCUUCUUCAGCUAUCAUUCUUUUCUCAUCUUUAAACAAUAUCUCUACUUGAAGUUUUGAAAUAAAAGUUUCCAUGUAUGAGAUUUUAGCUUUGAGCACUGUUAGUUAUCUGCUGCCAGGCUUCUGUGAAAGGAGUGAUCCUGGCAAUCUCACUAAGAAAAUGCUUUAGCAUAGCUUGCUAGAAUUUCCUUUUACCUGAAGAAGCAUUGUGAGCUUGUUGUCCCUGAAGGGUACGUUGCCACCUCCAUUUGCCAUGGACUCCACAACCCUUUUAAGAGCUGCAUUUCCUUGAUUGAUUUUCCUUGCCUGUUUUCCAUUUUGAAUAAGAAACAUGAGUAAGCCCAUUGUAUUUUGUAGAUCGAAUUUCAAUUUGUCUAAACCAGAAUUAGAAAGUAAAACUCUACCUGCAUUUUAUUCUGUGCGCCUUGGGCUUGGCCUGCUUGUUCUAUGUUCUCUGAACCAGCCAUGUCCACUAAUGUUAACACUAUGGACUUUGUCUUAUUCCAUGUCGUGCAAUUGAUGUGUUUGUAUAUUAUCUUGGAACUUUUUUGGGUAAUUAUAUAUUAUCUUGGAAGUUGAUAAAAGGAAUGGAGAAGAAUAAGAAAAGGCAAAGAGAAGGAGAAAAAUGAUAAUAAAGGGAAAAAUCUAAUGUUGACAGAUGAAAUGGAUGACUACCUUAUGGAGCAGCUACUUAAACAAGUGCAAUUAGGGCAUAGAGUUGAAAAUGGUUUCAGGCGUGAGGCGUAUAUUGAAAUAUGCGAUGAGUUUGAAAAAAAUAAAGGGGAUUGUAUUGAUUUUGGAAAAUGUAAAACAUAGAAUGCAGACUUGGAAGCGAUAAUACGAUCAACUGAAUGUUCUUUUGACCAAAAGUAGCUUUGGUUGGGAUGAUAAAUUACAUAAGGUUACAGCUGUAGAGGAAUUAUGGAGUGAUUACAUAAAGGAUUAUCCAAAAGCUAAGAUGUAUAGAACCAAGUCGAUACCCUUAUUUGGUUCAUUGCCAUUGUACUUGGGGAUGAUAAGGCCGAUAGAAAAUAAUGUGGUUGGGAUUGGAUUUGGAAGGCCGGAGGCCCCAUGGAUGAUAUUAGAUGUGACAGUCAGAGGGGUGAUGACCAUGACCUCGAUGAAUGAAUGGCUUCUAUGCAUGGAGAUGGUACAUCCCGUCAAAAUACUACUUCAUCAGCUUCAAUGAGCAAACAACCAGAAACGAAGAAAGUCGUGUGGGUGAGGCAAUUGCCGCUUCUAUUUAUGAGAGUGGUUGCUUUUGGGUAUGCAAUGGACGAGAUGACUAAGAAGAGGCGGAGAGUUGUAAAUAAUCAAGAGUUGAUCACAUAACUAAAAAGGGUUGAGGGAAUAACAUCCUAUGAUUAUUUUAGUGCAGGUAAAUAUCUUGUUGAAUACCCUAAUAUUGUAGCAAUGUUCAUAGAUGUGGAGUUGGAAUCACGCAAGGUCUGAUUGCUUUUUCUACAUAGUGAUUGAUUUGUAAUCUACUAAAAAUAGUUAAUGAUGGGUUAUAUGAAUUUAUAAAAGUUAUACAAGUUGUCGUGCUUGCUACCUUUUUUUCUUCUUUUUUUUGUAAUGUUAUAUGGCUAGUUCCACCUUGAUUGUCAUGACCGUUUUUGGAUC